rnacentral:rRNA from 1 species
UGGGGAAUAUUGCACAAUGGGCGCAAGCCUGAUGCAGCCAUGCCGCGUGUAUGAAGAAGGCCUUCGGGUUGUAAAGUACUUUCAGCGAGGAGGAAGGCAUUAAGGUUAAUAACCUUAGUGAUUGACGUUACUCGCAGAAGAAGCACCGGCUAACUCCGUGCCAGCAGCCGCGGUGAUACGGAGGGUGCAAGCGUUAAUCGGAAUUACUGGGCGUAAAGCGCACGCAGGCGGUUUGUUAAGUCAGAUGUGAAAUCCCCGGGCUCAACCUGGGAACUGCAUUUGAAACUGGCAAGCUUGAGUCUUGUAGAGGGGGGUAGAAUUCCAGGUGUAGCGGUGAAAUGCGUAGAGAUCUGGAGGAAUACCGGUGGCGAAGGCGGCCCCCUGGACAAAGACUGACGCUCAGGUGCGAAAGCGUGGGGAGCAAACAGGAUUAGAUACCCUGGUAGUCCACGCUGUAAACGAUGUCGACUUGGAGGUUGUUCCCUUGAGGAGUGGCUUCCGGAGCUAACGCGUUAAGUCGACCGCCUGGGGAGUACGGCCGCAAGGUUA